UACGAAGGGGGCGAGCGUUGUUCGGAUUUACUGGGCGUAAAGGGCGCGUAGGCGGCGGGUCAAGUCGAGUGUGAAAGCCCCGGGCUCAACCUGGGAACUGCAUUUGUGACUGCAUUGCUGGAGUGCGGCAGAGGGGGAUGGAAUUCCGCGUGUAGCAGUGAAAUGCGUAGAUAUGCGGAGGAACACCGAUGGCGAAGGCAAUCCCCUGGGCCUGCACUGACGCUCAUGCACGAAAGCGUGGGGAGCAAACAGG
rnacentral:rRNA from 1 species